rnacentral:rRNA from 1 species
UAGAUGCGAGAGUAGAGCAUAUCAAUAAGCGGAGGAAAAGAAACUAACAAGGAUUCCCCUAGUAACGGCGAGUGAAGCGGGAAGAGCUCAAAUUUGAAAUCUUCAAGGUUUGACCUUGACGAAUUGUAGUUUAAAGAAGUGCUUUCGGUUAGAGGAGUAGUAAAAGUUCUUUGGAAUAGGACAUCAUAGAGGGUGAGAAUCCCGUAUUUGACUAUUCUUUCUAGCUUUGUGAUACUACUUUCAAAGAGUCGGAUUGUUUGGGAAUGCAGUCCAAAAUGGGUGGUAAAUUUCAUCUAAAGCUAAAUAUUGGCGAGACCGAUAGCGAACAAGUACCGUGAGGGAAAGAUGAAAAGAACUUUGAAAAGAGAGUUAAACAGUACGUGAAAUUGUCAAAAGGGAAGCGUUUGACACCAGUGUUGUUUUUCCGAAAAUCAAUUAAAAAUUGAUUCAUGCCAGGUUGUAUUGACCUUAUCAGCUUGCAAUUUGGUUUUGGGUCUCUUUUUGAUGCACUUUUCGGUUAACAAGUCAACAUCAAUUUCCUUUGCUGUAAAAAGGUAAGAGGAAGGUGGCUUCAAUUUCGGUUGAAGUGUUUAUAGCCUUUUAUCUCUGCAGUCGGGGAGAUUGAGGUCUGCAGCGUAGAUCCUUCGGGGCUAGAUACAUUUAUGCUAAGUUAUAGCUUUUCAUAGACAACUUGUUGACUAUGUUUAGUCAUGUAGCUUACUCGUAAGUGCUAUUUUACCUACGCUUAGGAUGUUGACACACGCGCGUGCUCG